AGAGUUUGAUCCUGGCUCAGAACGAACGCUGGCGGCGUGCCUCAUACAUGCAAGUCGAACGAGAAAGUGAUCUUCGGAUCACGAGUAAAGUGGCGAACGGGUGAGUAACGCGUGGGUAAUCUGCCCUCGAGUUGGGGAUAACAUUCCUAACGGGAUGCUAAUACCGAAUAAUACCAUUUCGUCGCAUGGCGUUAUGGUCAAAGGUGGCCUCUACUUGUAAGCUAUCGCUUGAGGAUGAGCCCGCGUUUCAUUAGCUUGUUGGUGAGGUAAUGGCUCACCAAGGCGACGAUGAAUAGCCGGCCUGAGAGGGUGUCCGGCCACACUGGGACUGAGAUACGGCCCAGACUCCUACGGGAGGCAGCAGUAGGGAAUCUUGCGCAAUGGGGGAAACCCUGACGCAGCAACGCCGCGUGGGUGAUGAAGCUCCUUGGAGCGUAAAACCCUGUCAGGAGGGAAGAGACUGUAAUUGGAGUAACACUCCAAUUACGUGACGGUACCUCCAGAGGAAGCUCCGGCCAACUCCGUGCCAGCAGCCGCGGUAACACGGGGGGAGCAAGCGUUGUUCGGAAUUACUGGGCGUAAAGGGCGUGUAGGCGGAUUCGGAAGUCAGACGUGAAAACUCACGGCUUAACCGUGAGCCUGCGUCUGAAACUCCGAAUCUUGAGUACAGAAGAGGAGAGUGGAAUUCCUGGUGUAGCGGUGAAAUGCGUAGAUAUCAGGAAGAACACCGGUGGCGAAGGCGGCUCUCUGGUCUGAUACUGACGCUGAGGCGCGAAAGCGUGGGGAGCAAACAGGAUUAGAUACCCUGGUAGUCCACGCCGUAAACGAUGGGCACUAGGUGUUGGAGGUAUCGAUCCCUCCAGUGCCGAAGCUAACGCAUUAAGUGCCCCGCCUGGGGAGUACGGUCGCAAGAUUGAAACUCAAAGGAAUUGACGGG
rnacentral:rRNA from 1 species